rnacentral:SRP_RNA from 1 species
CUUUGGGCCCUGUGCAACGGCAUGCUGUGAAUCCCGCCAGGUCCGGAAGGGAGCAACGGUAAGCAGUUAUUCCGGGUGCCGCAGGAUUACCUGAAGGCC